rnacentral:rRNA from 1 species
ACGGAAGGCAGCAGUGAGGAAUAUUGGUCAAUGGGCGUAAGCCUGAACCAGCCACGUAGCGUGAGGGAUGACUGCCCUACGGGUUGUAAACCUCUUUUGUUUGGGAAUAAAGUAGACUACGUGUAGUCUUUUGCACGUACCUUUCGAAUAAGCAUCGGCUAAUUCCGUGCCAGCAGCCGCGGUAAUACGGAAGAUGCGGGCGUUAUCCGGAUUUAUUGGGUUUAAAGGGAGCGUAGGCGGCCUGUUAAGUCGGCGGUCAAAUGUCAGGGCCCAACCUUGGCAUGCCGUGGAUACUGGAGGGCUUGAGUGCACGCAAGGAAGGUGGAAUUCGUCGUGUAGCGGUGAAAUGCUUAGAUACUACGAAGAACUCCGAUUGCGAAGGCAGCCUUCUGGGGUGUUACUGACGCUGAGGCUCGAAAGUGCGGGAAUCAAACAGGAUUAGAUACCCUGGUA